UUGUACAGCCUAAAUGUUGAAAGCACCAGAUCCCAUCUGAUCUUGAAAGCUAAGCAGGCUCAGCCCUGGUUAGGACUCAGAUGGGAGCUCAUCAAGGAAGUCAGAUGCUGUAGCUU
rnacentral:rRNA from 1 species